rnacentral:rRNA from 1 species
UACGAAGGGUGCUAGCGUUGUUCGGAAUCACUGGGCGUAAAGAGCUCGUAGGCGGCGAUGCAAGUCAGAGGUGAAAUGCCAAGGCUUAACCUUGGAACUGCCUUUGAAACUGCAUUGCUUGAGACUCGGAGGGGAUAGCGGAAUUCCUAAUGUAGCGGUGAAAUGCGUAGAUAUUAGGAGGAACACCGGUGGCGAAGGCGGCUAUCUGGACGAGUACUGACGCUGAGGAGCGAAAGCGUGGGGAUCAAACAGG